AAAAAAAAAAAAAAAAAAAAAAAAAAACUCGUGUUUUAUAUUAUUUUGUAAAAAGGUCUACUUCCUCACAAUCCAAAAAUAAAACGAAACAAGUAAUGAAUUAGACCUCAAUUUAUUCCAUUCAAUUCUUCUACACUAGACAUUAUUCUUGGCAACAAUCUUUUAAACCGGUUUUAUUUUUGUAAGAUGUGGAGGAAAGUCUCAGAUCCAUUUCACCGAUUUCUUGUUUUAGUGUUUAUAAUCUCCCUGAAAUUCAAUACCAUAUGCUUUGACAACGCUGUUUGUCUAGAUAUUAUAAUUUAGUUUAUCAUCCUUCUUUUCGACAGCUAUUAAUAUAUUGCAUAUCCAUCAUUGUGUAUGUAUGUAUGCAUGCAUAUAUAUAUAUAUAUAUAUAUAUAUAUACAUAAUUGUAAAAUAGACUUUCCAUUUUGUAAAAAUACAAGACCAUUUAAUGAAGCUGAAAAUUCAAUGUUUUAGAAUGUAGAGUUGCAAAUCACUCUAUUACUUUAUUUCUACCCAUGUAUGCAAAGAUUUACUCUAUGGAAAAACAUUUAUUCAUUCAUGUCACACCAAUUUAUUUGGUUACGCAGGAUACAAUUGUUAAACUAAUUUGUAGAAUGUACGAAUUCAAGCAAUGAAUUUUAAUUUUUCUCAAAUAAAUCAAAUCAAAUCAAAUCAAAGAUCUAAAGCACAUGUUUUACAAACUUGUUUUAUGAAAAAAAUUCAUAAUUUUUUUUAAUAAAAAAUAAAAAACUUGUUAAAUCAAUUCUUGCAUAUAUAUAUAUAUAUAUAUAUAUAACUUAUUCAAUAUUCAAAUUUACAGUUUUAUUAAGAUCUCAAACAAACAUUACAUGUAAACAAAAUUGACUAUGUAAGCAUCUGUGUGUAUAUAUAUAUAUAUAUAUAUAUAUACACACACACACACACACACAUAUGGUUUAAAAUAUAUAUAUACUUAUAUCUACUACUCAUCAAUGAUACGUUUUAGUUUAUAAAAAUGUACCCAAUAUUAUUAUCUAUAUAUAUAUAUAUAUAUAGGCACACACACAUUAUGUAGGAAAUGUAUUCCCCACUUUUUAUGACAUGUGUGUUCGAAUAUAUUCAUGUGAUCAAACUUAAAAUUCUUUGGAUGUUUCCAAAUAAGGACAUUUUAUUCUUUUCAAAUCAUUCUUUCUCAGGAAUUUUAAGUAAUCCACUUGUGUAUGGAAGAAUGUUUUGUGCUUGAUUAUACCUGCUUGAAUGAGCAACCAAUCAGAGCCAAUUCAAUACGCUCUCUAUUUUCAUGAAACAUAAACCUUUCAAUGUUGUGGGUUCAUAAAUUUUCCUUUGAAGAAACCUUUUACUUUUUUUUCUAUCUGCAAUACUUUCGAUUGUGUAUGUACGUACGUACGUGAAUAUAUAAUUACGGUUCCCGUCACUAAUAGUGGAUGAAUGAACCUGAAUACAUUCGUCAAUUUCAUGAGACUCACCUAUUGCCGUGCACUCAUGAAUACGUAUACAGACAGCAGCAGAUGAUUGGCUGAGUCCCCGGGAAAGCUGACAUGGCUCCAACUUUCUUUUGAUUUGGGAAUGGAGCCAUGUGCCCGCCCUUGCUUUUCCUUUUUUCCUUUUCCUUUUUCUUUAAAGUGGAAACUCUAAUUCCCAGGUCCUUCAUGCAUGCCUGUAAGUCAGCAUACUAGAAGCUCAUCUCGUGCAUUCUAGCAUUUGUUAUCUCAAACAGUUGUCUUAAAUGUUUGGAAUAAAGGCAUUAAACGAGAACAAGAAAAUGAAGGAAAUCUACAAAACUAAUUACUUAGAAAUUAAAAUUUAAAUUUGUAACUUUCCUCUUCCACCUACUCAAUUUUUCUUACAAAAAACCUAAUUAAAUAUCAGGUAUUUCCAGUAGCAGUUACCAAUUAUAUAUAUAUAUAGAUAUAUAUUUAUUUAUUUGUUUAUGGGAGAAUAUGACAAGACACAACUUUUUGAAUUCCUUUUGAUUGGUUGUAAUGUAUAAAUUUCUCAGUUUUAGCCAAUCAAAGGAUUUGGAAGUUGUAACCUUCUCCCUCAAAUACAAAGACUUCUUUAAAACACUAUUGUUUACUCAAUUUCAAGCCAAAAAUUGGAUCUCCUUGGAUAAUAGUUGACAAUCUUGAAUGGUGUGCCCUACAGGUUUCAUAAUCCCCUUCACAAAUAAUGCCACAUGUAUAGAUUUGAAUCGAAAUAAUUUGAAGAAAGAACCCUCUUUCAAUAGCAAUUGUGAAAAAAAAAAGAGAAGGAUGAACAAUAAAAAAAAUAAAAAAAAAUAAAAAAAUGAAAAAUAUCAGAAACAAACACUGGGAACAAUAAGAAAUGAGAAGGAAUGUCUACUAAGGAGAAUAAGAAUCGUUGCAUGGACCUCAGAAAUGGUGAGAUUCCACCUAGAACUGGCUUCCAUCACCAACUGGGCCUUGAACAUGAUUGUGGACUAUGAUAAGGAACCCAUCAUUUGAUACUCUCAUGUGAGGCAUCAUCUGGCUUCUUUAUAUUGAUUUUUUGUCUCUUUCUCAAGCAAAGUCCACAGUUUUCCCUGUAAACUAUUAUAUGUGCUUUGACAAGAGAAUGGAGGAUGCCCUCAUUCUGAAUGCGGAACUGUGGAGGAGCACUUUGCUGGAGCUGGGGCAGAGAUGAUGGCAGGGGUCCCUUCAAGCCUGCCCGCUGCCCGUAAAUUUACUCGCUUGGGGCAGAGUGGGCAGUUGUUUCACCAAACCCACUUUGGACUGGCAGCCUUAGUCCCCCAAUCAUUGUACUGGCCAUGGUGGCUCCAAACCCACCAUGGCCAAAAUCUGAAAAAACUGACCCAAAAACACUGAAGAAGAAAAAUAUAUUACCCUAAAUAUAAAAAAAAAUAAAAACAAACAAACCUAGGGCUCAAGAGUCUAGGGGAAAAAAGAAGGGGUUAGAAGGAGUGGGCAGACAGAGUUGUACUACCUGACAUCCUGCCCGUGGGCAGAAGAAAAAAACAAAUGAUCCUCGGGCAGGUGUUGACAAUUUUCAGCAGCUCAUUGGAGGGGGAGGGGGUGCUGUGGAGCUUGUCCCUCCGAAGCUCGGCUUAUUUUCCUCUGCCCCAGACUUUGCCCCCUGCCCGGGAGAGAAACUCACCCGUCCCCUUCCUUACCCUGCCCGUCCAAAACCCGGGCUGAACCAGCACCCGAAGCCACCUCCCCAAUCACGAGAAGCCAGCUGUCGCAGCCGACAGUAGCUCGAUUCCAACUUAUCCUCUGGGUGCUGACCAAGCAAAAAACUUAGCCCCGAAAACCCUAAAGGAAUCAAGUAAAAAAAAAAAGUAAAAAUAAUAAAGACACUGGAUGAAAACGUAAAAGGGGAGAGGUAAUUCCCCCAGUACCAUAGGCCUGUGUCCGACCGUAAUCAGCUCAGAAUCAUCAAUCUUUUUAGAAGUAAGAACCCAAGUAAGAAAAUAACCCAUACGGUUUGUAUCGGGAACCAAACGUUCUGUCGCGUUCCCACAGUAUCUGCUCUCAAGACCUUUGAAGACUUCCUUGUUCCCUUUGAGUUCCCCAAACCAAUGUGAGCCCUAGUCAUGGGGGUGUGUUGUUGCCUUGGAAUGGAAGCCUAUUUUCCCCCUCCUGGGAUCUUUGGGAGACGGUGGGAGUGUUCAUCUUGCUUCUCAACGAAGGUUUGUGUCAUUUUUUAUUAAUUAAUAAUAUUCGUUUGAAAGUUAGAGAUUAGAAAAAUAAAAUAAUCGGAAUUAUUGAAUGAUAGCAUAGAAAAUUAUGCACAAUUUCUUUAAGAAACUUCAAACAACCAUAUCUUGUCGGGGUACCUGCUCAAAUUGAGCAAAUAAGCAUCCUAUCUGUAAAAGAUUAUGGAGUACUUAAUAUAGUGCUUUGAAAUUCCAACAUUCUGGUCAUGUUUUUUUUUGUUUUGUUUGUUUGUUUGUUUUUUUUUUCUUUUUUUAGUUUUGUUUCAUCAGUAUAUUAUAAAUAAUAAUAAAAGUGAAAUAUCUUGUUUUAAGUUUUUUUGUUAAAUAAUUAUAAUGGGUUGAUUUAUGUGCAUGAGUGAUUAUGAAUAUAAUUUGUGCCAGAAGCAAAAAAUCAAUACAUAAAUAACCAUAUAAAUACAUAAAAGGAGUUUGCAAUAUUUAUUUUGCUGCCAUUGUUAUUUUUUUGGUUAGUAAUUGAGAUUCAGUACUGAGGUAUCCUCUCAAUACUUCAGAUUACAAAUUCCACAGUAGACACAUUAAAUUAGAAUCAGGUAAAAAUAAUUGAUGGUUUCAGUUGGUCAGCUUUUUAAUUUAAAAUCUAAGAUUAAUUAAAUAUCUAAGUAAAAAUUCGAAUCCAUACUGAUAAAUUCUGUAGAAUAUGGUUUCAAUACAUCAGGUAUAUAUAUAUAUAUAUAUAUAUAUAUAUUUGGUGAGGAUUCAUAAAAUUCAUGAAAAUUCUUUUUGUAUAUGUUAAAUUAGCAGAAAAAUAGAUUUGAGAUUGAAUUAAUUAGUUAUAACUGUUUGAAUAAAAUAAUUUAAAGGUUUGAAUCUCAAUUUUUUGCCAACAUGAUAUUCAUCUAAUUACUCAGAAAGAGUUCAUACAAAUUGCACUAAAAAAUACAUGAGUAUUCUAUUUUUCAUUCUGAACAUAACACAAUACAGUAUAUUUGAAACAUGUGAAUUUGGAAUUUAGAAGAAAGCAUAAAAGAAGGAGCGGUCUUGAAGUUUUGUAAUAGAACUAGUAAUUUAAAAAAUAAAUAAAUAGAAAAGUUAUUUUGAAGGUUAUAUUGUGGAAUCUAGUGCUGAACUGCUAGGAAUGUUUCUUUCAUUUUAUUUUUUGGCAAAAAUAAAGGGGUGUCUCUAAAACUAAGUACAUUUUUCAUUUUAUUCCUAAUUGUAGAUUUAUUCUUGACCAAGCUUUUGCAAGUCUUGUAAGAGUGGAGUUGAAUCUUAUGUGUUGUAUUUGCUAAGACAGUACCUAAACAUAAUUAAGAAUGAUCUUGCACGUGAAGGGAGGAAAUUAGUGACAUCAUCUAGAGUUGUUAAUGUUCUUAUCCACACUUAUCGCAUAUCUAUUUAAUUGCUUUACAGUACAUGAGAGAAAUAUGCUUAAUAAUAGUAAUAAAUGUUUGCAAAGUAACUAAAUUUAAAUCUUCAUGUUCAAUUUUAUUUUUUAUAGCUUUAUUUUAUAUUCUUGUGCGUAAAAACACAACUUUUGUGGUGCUUUGCUUAUACAUUAAUUAAACUGAUUACAUAUUCUUUUAUAAGUUAAAUAAUACAAGGUUAUUGUUUCAUUUUUAAAAUCUUUAAAAUUGUUGAAAGUAGUUUAAAGUUUCAGGAAGUAUUUUUUUCUUAUUUUUUAAAAAAUAAUAAAUAAAAUAGGACUCCCGUAUUAUACUGUAAAGGGCUAUUUCAAUUAUAUACCACAAUUCAAAAUCACAAUAUAUUUUCUUAGAUUUAUUUUAUAUAACAAUAUAAAAUAAAAUAUCUCAUGAACAAAUUUAGUAUACCUUACUAAGACAAAUUAUUUUAAAACUUAUAAUUAUUUCUGUUCUUCUUGACAUAAAUAAUAUUUAUAUUGCUUAUUUAAUAUCUCUUGAUCUCAAAACUUAUAUAUAUAUAUAUAUAUAUAUAUAUAUAUAUAUAUUAAUCAAGUUAAAUGGAAAUGAAAAUUAAGUAAGAACUAUGAUUGUAAAUUGAAUCUCUAAAUUUUUUUAUUUCUAAUUUUUUAUUUUUUAUUUUUAUUUUCUAUAAAAUAAUUAUACAAAACUUUCUAUUAACCACCCAUAAACCAUAUCAUAACAUUUGAUAUAUUUGUAUGCACCAUCUCUUGUUAAUUGCACCAUCACCAAGUUUAUACCAAAAAAAAAAAAAAAAAAAAAAAAACCCACAAAUAUUCAACACUUUCAAUCCCUUCUCAAUUUUGCACUUUGAAGAAAAGAAAAGAAAAAGAAAAAACCACAUGAAUCAAAACACAAAUAUCCUAAGGCUACCAAUGAAAGACACUACCAUAGAAGGUGAGCCCUAGAAGAAAAACAAAUCCUCAAAUCACACCGCCCAUAACAACAAGCACUCUAAAUUUAGGACAGUGGUAACGAAGCUGCAAGGACCCUGCGGGCGUGUCGUUACGUGGCCGCAUCAGGCCGCGGCAGCGGCGAUGAUAGCGGCAGGGGGCAACGGCAGUGGUGGAGACGACGUGUCCGGCGACGCAGUCCUGGGUUCUGGUGGAAACGGAAGAAUCCACCCGUGAGGACAAAAGGGCGAAGUGGGGAAUGGGAGGAUGGAGAAGGGGAAAAUUCUGGACUCACUGCAGCAGACAUCGUCGUCAUCGUCAAUCGUGCAUUAAUCGCGGUUUUACCAGACGGAAUGGCGAGAUAAUUUUGCGGGGGGAGCGCAGGAACGGAGGGAGGGUGUGUGAGUGUGUUAGAGAGAGAGAGAGAGAGAGAGAGAUAUACGGUGCUGCUUGCAUCGAUCCGGACAAGCGGCUGAAGUGCUGCUGCAGUUGAGCCCCAUGACGGCCUAGAAUUGCGCAAGGGCAACGGAGACCUGGUCGUUGUGGGCUAGCCAACUUGUUGGAGCUUGUGGGUGACUGGAGAGGGCGGGUCUGAGGGGGAGUAGACGGAGCCGGGGGUGUGGGGCCAUGAGAGUGGCUGUGUCUACUGGAUUGAUAGGAGGCAGUGGAGAUCUUGCCAUGGGUCAUCGCUACCCCGACCUCCUCGGCCAGUGCCUUAUCACACUCUGAAAGAGAAAGGAAAGGGUCAAGUGUCGAGGUUCCCCAGCUGAUGGUUGCUGGCUCUUUUAUUAUUAUUAUUUUGUUUUGUUUUGUUUGUUUGUUUUAUUUUUUUUGUCUUCUCCCUUCAGAAAUUACAAGACCUGCUGCUUUACUUGCCAGUCUCGGGUCUCGUUGCAUCUUAAUUGCUGUUCCUUCUUCGGCUUGGAUGCAUUUCAAUCAUCCACUCAGCUGGUGGAUCAAGCGAUCGAGUGCAGCAACUGUGUGAGAGAGGGCUGCGAUCUAUGCUUUCGUUAACAGUGAUAGUUUAGCUUCUGGGUCGUGGUUUGUGCGGUGUAGAGUGUGUUUAUUUUUGUCUAGGCAGCGAGAGGUGUUCUCUGAGGUUUUAUCGCACUUGUGUUGCGAGGACUGAUUGAUGAUCUGGUAACGUUGGAGAAGUCGCCGGAGUCGUAGUUAAGCUACGGAGCCUGUCAAUCUGUCAAGAUGCCCGAGGUACUAAACUAGUUUUCCCUAUCUAGACUCGCCAUUUGCUGGUCUUGAUUGAUUGAUGUCGAGACCUGUGACUCAAUUGCUCCGCAUUGGUUUCUCACACUAUUGUCCUUGAAUACUCAGCACAUCCUCUGCACUUGUGUGAGCAUGUCGGUGGCAUGAUCGGUGAGCAUUCAUGCGUGAAUUUGUUUUUGUGGAGGAGUUGUGAGAGCUUAAAGACCUUGAAGCUUGUUUUCUGUGGCGUCCCAUGAUCGCGUUACAUCACAAUGUUACAUUUUAACGCGAAAGUGAUCUAACUUUGCUCAUCGACUAUGAUUGCUAGUUCCACAAUUUGAAAGAUUUACGUAGUGCUCUCACUUUUCGACUUUUCUGUAUCUUCAAUCCCCAGAAGCGUUUUGUAUUGUCUGUGCGUGAGGGUGAUCCUUGAGUUGAAGUUCAAUGCCAUUGAUUAAUUUCGAGGGGAUAAACAGUGAUCUUGCAAUCUCCGUCUGCCUAUCUCGAAAUUCUCGUAGCGGCGGACGAUUGCCUCAAAAAAUCGUGCAAGAGCUAACGAAGUUUGCAAUCACACACUUCCUUUCUUUCGUCACUCUACCUUGGUUUGUGGCUUUUGGCGACCGCUUACGCAUCUCACUAUUUUCUCCUCCAAAUUGAAGAUUCAUUGGUAGCUCGUGGUUGCAUCCUGUUUCAUUGCUACAGAUCGGCGGUGCUGCAACUUUUAUGUUAUUUUUAUUUUCUAUUGAUUUAAGUUUUGGUUUUUCUCUUUGUUGGUUUUCUUUUUAUCCUCCUCAGUCAAUUCGCUCGAAAUUACCUUGAUUCCUCUCAAACAGAGUUUUUAGUGUCCAGUUGACGAGGCAGAUUUUGGAAGCAUCCACAAUCUGCAAGUAACGUCUACGUGAGCAAUUGUGGGAAUAAUUCUUUCAACCCAAUUAUGAAUGCUGACCUGUCACCAUGGGUGCAAAUGUUGAUUGAUGAUGCAGACAGUGGAAAUCAGGACGGUGGUGCUUCGGGUGAUGCUGCACUGCGAAGGUUGUGCUCACACCGUAAAGCGAGCUUGCGCCAAGAUUCCUGGUAAGAACUCCCCACCUCGGUCCUUACCAUUCAGAUCAUGGGUACAUGUAAUGCUAAGUGCUUUGCUGAAGUUGGAUUUCAAAGUGUCGUGGGAGUCUAACCGCAAACAUGCUAUUUGGCUUUUGCAACAGGUGUUACAGCCUACAAAGUGGACUUUCCAGGGCAGCUGGUAACUGUGACUGGAAAUGUAACCCCAGAGGAAGUGUACAGACGCAUCAAGAAGACUGGAAAGCAGACCGAGCUCGUGCCUCCUCCACCUCCUGCUAAGAAAGAGGAGCCCAAGAAGGCGGAACCCAAAAAGGAGGAAAAAAAAAAGGAGGAGAAGAAGGAAGAAAAGAAAGAAGAAAAAAAAGAGGAGAAGAAAGAGGAGAAGAAAGAGGAGAAGAAAGAGGUAUAGCAACUGCACCUGCACCUGAACUGAAACUAUACAUCACUCCUGAAAACCUUCUCACCUGUUCAGAAAUCAGUAGGAUUACAAGCUGCUACUCAAUUGAUUGCAAUCUGUUUUUCAGAGUUUGUUUAUCAUAUGAAGUUCACUCAUUGUUGAGUUCUGCUCAAGUACUGAACAACUAUGAAUGACCCAGGAAAAGCCAGCAGAUGAUAAGGCUAAAGCAGGAGGUGGUAAGAAGAAGAAGAAAGGUGGAGGUGGUGGAAAUGGUGGAGGAGGAGGAGGAGGAGAUAAGAAGGCUGAUGCUCCAAAAGCAGAAGAAAAGAAGGAGGAAAAGAAAGAGGAGAAGAAAGAGGAGAAGAAAGAAGAAAAGGAGGAAAAGAAGGAAGAUAAGGAGAAGGAGAAGCCCAAAGAUCCACCCAAACCUAAGGAAGAGAAGAAACCACCACCCACACCCGAAGAACUCUAUCCCGUCACCUUUGUGCUUGGCCAAGAUUACACUAGAUAUUACUACUAUUGACAUAACAAUCAAGCAAAUUAAUCUUAGAUCAACUUGUACAAUUACUUUGGUUGCCAUAUUUUCUAGAAGCUAGAUGUAAAGGAUUGUGUCCAAUUACUAUUACAAACUUGAACAUGGCAACCAAUGAUGCUAAUAUCUAGCAGGAAAGUUUUGAAUCAAUCUAAGAUGAUUUUUGUCUUUAAAUAUCAUUGGGAAAAAUAAAAUAAAAUAAAAAAAUCACACAUAAAUACAAGAAGUAGACACUAGAUGCUAAUGGUUGAUGUUACAUAUUUUGAAUUAUGAGACAUUUUUUAUAGUUUCUUUACAAACAAUAAUUGGUAUAAGUCUUAAUGAUAAGUUUUGGUUGUAGCAAAUAGCCUUAAGCUUAAAGAAAACCUUUACAAGUAUAAACUUUUUAAAAAUAAUUUAUCUUCUUGUGUCUAGGAUAUCUAUAGUUUUUGAUAUCCAACUUAAUAUGCUUAUACAAAUUUUUAUAUUCAAUUUUUGUAUAAGCAUAUUAAGUUUAUAUAUAAAUUUAUGCAUAUGAAAGUUUAUAUAUAAAUUUUUGACAUCCAACUUAAUAUGGUUAUAAAAAGUUGUGCAUACUUGCAUAGUCUUAUGAAAGUUUAUAUAUAAAUUUAUGUAUAUUAAAGCCAAAGCCAAUAUACAUCAUGGAUAUUUGAUAUAUUCAUGGAAAAUAACAAAAAUACUUGUUGUAAAUAUAUAAUAUAUUUAUAAAAAAUAUAUUAACUACAAAUUGGUUAAAAAAUACAAAUAACUAUUUUAAAAAUUAAAAUUUGAUUCGAUACAAUGUUGGAUAAAUUUUUUAUAUAAAAUUAUUGUUUUUAAAAAAAUAUAUAUAUAUAUAUAUAUAUAUAUAUAAAUAAAUAGAAAUAAAAAUUUAAAAAUAUAAAAUUUUAUACUAUAUUAUAAAAUACAUGAUAUGAAUAAAUUUUAUAUAUAUAAAUAUGGUAUAAGACAUUAUUAAGAAUAAGAUUUGGCACUUUUUCUCCACAAAAAUACAUCCUUUACAUCUCCAAAUUAAUUGUAACAAAAAUAAUUACUAAGGCCUUCUAUGAAACAAAUUCUUUUAUAUUAUUGCAAUUACAAAAAUCCUUAUUUAAAGCAUAGUGUAAUUGCAAAUGAUAAUGAAACAAAGACCAUUCACAAUAAGAACAUAUAUUUUAUAACCUAUAAAAUCUUAGAAGUAAAUUUUUAAUUAAAAUAAAUUAAUAAUAAUAAAUAUACUAUAAGAAUGAUUAUUUUUACUUCACAAUUUAUACUAUAAUCUACUUCACAUACUAUAAUCUAUUUCAUUUCACAAUUUAGCAAAUAAUUUAUUAAGACUUAGCGACACCUAAUCAAAAAUUCCAAAACCAUCAACAUAUUGAAUGCUUCAUUGGAGUAAGAGUGAAUAAUAUAUACUAUUCCUUGCAUAAUAUAGUUACAUUUUUUAUUAGUAUUUUUUUUAGUAACAUUAAUUUAUAUAACUAAUAAAAUAUUCUAAAAUCUUAGUAGAGAUUAAAUUUAUGACUUUAAGAUUGUGACUAAUGAUAGUAAAAUUAGGUUGACAAGUUAAGCAAUUAAUAUUGCUAAUACUAGUCAUAUUAACUUUAUUUUAUACAUAGUAUAUUUAUUAUGCUAAGUUUCUUUUUAUCAUAUCAAUCAAAUCAUCUAUUAAUCCAUCAUUUCUAGGUAGCACUAGAAAUUUUAAGAUUAACCUAGUAGCUUUGAAAAAUAAAAUUUAUAGUAAAUAAAAAUAACUUGCAGUACACAUCUUUUAAAGAAAAUUCCAAAUGUAACAACAAAACCAAUUUGAAUAACUAAGACUACUUCAACAUUAUGAAUUUUGUACUCAUGUAAAAUUUCAAAACUCUAUUUCUUAUCCACAUGUGUUAAUUAAAAUGUAAUAUAUAUAUAUAUAUAUAUAUAUAUAUAUAUAUAUAUAUUUAUACACAUUUAAAAUAAAAAUAAAAAUGUAAAAGUAAAUACAACCACUAAUAGUUAUACAUGUUUAAACCUUUUAAUAAAUCAAAAAUUAUUUAAGAAAUCAAAUAUAAACAAAUCUUUUUCACAGUUAAGCAAACAAAUUGAAAGAGAUUUCUUAUUAAAAUAUAUGAGAAUAACUUCUAAUUUUCUAAUUAGAAUCUAUGUAUGAUCAUUUUUAUUUUAUUAGAAAGAAUGGAUGGUUGCAUUUUAAAAAAGUUAGUUCUAUAUAUGUCCUAUAAAUUCUAUUAAGAUUCAUUGAUUCCACCAUUAAGAACAAAAGUAAAAUAUUGUCUAAAGAGAAUUAAAUUCAAAGCAUAUUGAAAGGUUCUUAUGCAAUUCUAGUAGUAAAAAUCUCACUUAAAUUUUAGAAUAUAAAAAAACCAAUCUAUGUAAUUAAAAUAUCUAUAAAACUAGAAUGUCAUCCAAACAUAGUAUACAUCAAACAUAUUCAGAUUUUUCUAACUACCAUUAACAAAAACAUCUAAAAUAUUUACUAAUUACAUUUAUUACUACACUAACAAAUGAUUGUUAAUAUAAUUUUUAUUACUGAAUUCUACUAUUAGAUAUUAUACAAUCUUCUUAAAAAUGUGCUUGUAUUUUAGACAUGGAACAUAUGAGAUUGUAAUUAUCUUCUAAUAUAGGCAAUACAAUUAGACAAUGUAUCUUAGAAGUAUCAAGAACCAUCAAUGUAAUAUAGAAAGAUUUAGCAACAAUAACUUGCAUGUUAACAUAUAAAUCUUUUUUUAGAAAUAAUUCUUAUUAGUCAUUUGAAUACAUAAACAUAUGUCAAUCACUAAUGCUUUAAAUGAAACAUAUAUAUCUUUAAAAGCACUUAGCUAAUAAGAUUCAAGCACAAUUAUUUUUAUGACACAAUUGUUUAGAACUAAAAACUAAAACUCAAUAAAUUUAUAAAGGUGUAAGAAUUAAGAGUUUUAUGUAAAAGUGUAUUGCUUCCAAAAAAGAUCUUUAAAAGAACCUUCAAUAAUAGCAAGAAGAGUCAAAAGCCAAACUAUGGCAUUAUUAUAAUAGAUAAUACCAAAGAUGUAAGUUAGAGGUAUAAACUCAUAGGCAAUAGUUUUGGAUUGUGUCUCUAUUUGAAAAAUUAAUAAUGUUGAAUUUCUUAAAUUAUAAAAUUUAGUAAUAUUUUCUAAAUUUUAAUCUUUUAAAAUUUAGGAAUUUAAAACUCAAAUUUGAACCCUAAAUUCUAUACUUUGUCUAACUUUGAGUUUUAAACUUAAAUUAAAAUGAAUUAUAGUUAAAUUUUGUAAACUCAAAUAUGUCUCGAGUUCCAAUUAAACCUUGUGAGAUAAAAUUUACAAGAAUAUAUUAAAAGUCUUCUAAUUUCUUAUUUUGUUGAAAAAAAUUCUAUACAAAUAAUAUUUAUUUAUUUAUUUAUUUAUUUAUUUAUAAUAAGAUUUUAUAAAUCUAACAUGCAAAAUAAAACUUCCAAAGUGUUAUUAGAAAAGAAUUAGAAACUUUAUUAGUUCCAAUAACUAAGUAUAAAGCUCAAACAUUUUAGCUUUAAAAUAUCUAAAGUGAUACUUUGCAAAAAAAUAAUAUCUCAAACUUAAUAUUAUGUUUAUACUAAAACAUCACAAACUGAUGUCUACUUCUUUGUUAGUAGGAAUUACAUUAUCAAGACAAUGCAUUUAUAUAAUUCAAAAGUAUAGUAGAGAAACCUAGCUUAAAAAAACUAUUUGUACAAUAUAACCUCAAUAAUUAUUGUUUUGAUUGUAAGAGUCUUAUCAAACAAUCUAUAACAAAAUAUUAUAAAAUCCAAUAAUCUUGUUGAAAAUAUCUAAUUUACAAAAUAAAUUGCAAAUAAGAGGAUGUGAUAAUUAGAAAAAAAAAAAAAAAAACAAAACAAAACAAAACCACUGGUACAACCAAAAUUUGUUACAAUAAUUCUAUACAACUAGAUAUUUAAAUUAGCCUAAAUAUUAUUGAGUUGCCGCUGAGUAAUCUACUUACAAAUUUGUUUUAACAACUUUUAAUGUCAAUUUUUUUUUUAAAUAUCACAUUCCCAUAAUGCUCCAAACGAAUUAAUUACUAUGAUUUUGGUUUGUAAUUUUUUACCAUUUCUAAAUCAUAAGAAGAAAUUAUCACACAUGUGGCUUUAUUCUUCUAACUCUUACCUAUUUCAAAUUCAAUCCCUUUAAUCUUUUUAGUAAUCCCCAUCUUACUAAAAACAUAUCUAUCUAUUUCUUUUGAAACUUACAAUGUAGCAUGUUGUUUUUAUUUGCAAAAUUAGUUUGUUACAAAUUUCAAAAUAACACAAUUCAAUAUCUCUUGCCCAUCAAAUUUCUACCAAAACAACCAAAUAACACUAUUCAGUACCUCUUGUCCAACAAAUUUCCACCAAAAUAACCAAUAACACUAUUCAAUAACUCUUGCUUAACAAAUUUCUACCAAAAUGACCAAAUUUAAUGUUGUUUUUAUUUGCAAAAUUAAUUAGCUACAAAUUUCAAAAUAACACUAUUCAAUAUCUCUUGUCCAACACAUUUUUACCAAAAUAGCCAAAUUUAAAAUGGAUUGGGAUGAUUUUUUUCAUCUCUUUUAGAUUACUCAAAUCUAUCUUUCUACAAGCUUCUGAUUGCCGAAAUUUACCACAAUUGCCAAACCUUUAUUUACUUACUUAUUUAUUUAUACAUAUACAUGGAAAAGAAACUCAAUAAAUCCAAGAAAGGAAGAAAACCUGAACAAGCCGAAGUUCUUUAAUCAGGAUUGCGAUGCGAUGGGAUGACAGAGGCGAAGGAGCGAGCAAAGUGAUUCCAAUGUCCUGAAAUCACAGCAUUAGGGUUUGGAGCUCUCUGGGUUUGUCUGCCAGUCCUUUGACCGCUCUCUUGUGACCAAGGAACGUGGUUUUCAAUACUUGAUUAGAUAGGUUUUCACCACCGUUGGUCUUUCGCUCCAUUGGAGCAUACCUGGACUUGAAAACUAAAAAAAAAGAAAUUGGGACCCCACAUUCUUCUGUCCAUGUUCAUUUUAAGACAUUCAUUCCAACAAUUGGGUCAGAUUCGACUAAACUCGAAAUAACACAAAUAAGAAUUACGGCAACAGCGAAUUUCAAAGACCCAUUAAUUUUUAAGAACUACUAAAGGAACAAGUUAAAAGAAUAAUAAUAAUAAUAAUAAUAUAAAGUUCACUCUUCUGAAACCCUUGACUGCCAUGCUAUGCCUC
rnacentral:lncRNA from 1 species